GUUUAAGCGUGUAGGUGUGUGUUCCAGGUAAAUCCGGUUCACUUUAACACUGAGGCGUGAUGACGAGGCACUACGGUGCUGAAGCAACAAAUGCCCUGCUUCCAGGAAAAGCCUCUAAGCAUCAGGUAACAUCAAAUCGUACCCCAAACCGACACAGGUGGUCAGGUAGAGAAUACCAAGGCGCUUGAGAGAACUCGGGUGAAGGAACUAGGCAAAAUGGUGCCGUAACUUCGGGAGAAGGCACGCUGACACGUAGGUGAAGUGAUUUACUCAUGGAGCUGAAGUCAGUCGAAGAUACCAGCUGGCUGCAACUGUUUAUUAAAAACACAGCACUGUGCAAACACGAAAGUGGACGUAUACGGUGUGACGCCUGCCCGGUGCCGGAAGGUUAAUUGAUGGGGUCAGCGCAAGCGAAGCUCCUGAUCGAAGCCCCGGUAAACGGCGGCCGUAACUAUAACGGUCCUAAGGUAGCGAAAUUCCUUGUCGGGUAAGUUCCGACCUGCACGAAUGGCGUAAUGAUGGCCAGGCUGUCUCCACCCGAGACUCAGUGAAAUUGAACUCGCUGUGAAGAUGCAGUGUACCCGCGGCAAGACGGAAAGACCCCGUGAACCUUUACUAUAGCUUGACACUGAACAUUGAGCCUUGAUGUGUAGGAUAGGUGGGAGGCUUUGAAGUGUGGACGCCAGUCUGCAUGGAGCCGGCCUUGAAAUACCACCCUUUAAUGUUUGAUGUUCUAACGUGGACCCGUGAUCCGGGUUGCGGACAGUGUCUGGUGGGUAGUUUGACUGGGGCGGUCUCCUCCUAAAGAGUAACGGAGGAGCACGAAGGUUGGCUAAUCCUGGUCGGACAUCAGGAGGUUAGUGCAAUGGCAUAAGCCAGCUUGACUGCGAGCGUGACGGCGCGAGCAGGUGCGAAAGCAGGUCAUAGUGAUCCGGUGGUUCUGAAUGGAAGGGCCAUCGCUCAACGGAUAAAAGGUACUCCGGGGAUAACAGGCUGAUACCGCCCAAGAGUUCAUAUCGACGGCGGUGUUUGGCACCUCGAUGUCGGCUCAUCACAUCCUGGGGCUGAAGUAGGUCCCAAGGGUAUGGCUGUUCGCCAUUUAAAGUGGUACGCGAGCUGGGUUUAGAACGUCGUGAGACAGUUCGGUCCCUAUCUGCCGUGGGCGCUGGAGAACUGAGGGGGGCUGCUCCUAGUACGAGAGGACCGGAGUGGACGCAUCACUGGUGUUCGGGUUGUCAUGCCAAUGGCACUGCCCGGUAGCUAAAUGCGGAAGAGAUAAGUGCUGAAAGCAUCUAAGCACGAAACUUGCCCCGAGAUGAGUUCUCCCUGAGACUUUAGGUCUCCUGAAGGAACGUUGAAGACGACGACGUUGAUAGGCCGGGUGUGUAAGCGCAGCGAUGCGUUGAGCUAACCGGUACUAAUGAACCGUGAGGCUUAACCUUACA
rnacentral:rRNA from 1 species